GAUGAAGAACGUAGUGAAAUGCGAUAAGUAAUGUGAAUUGCAGAAUUCAGUGAAUCAUCGAAUCUUUGAACACACAUUGCGCCCCCUGGUAUUCCGGGGGGCAUGCCUGUCCGAGCGUCAUUACAACCCUCAAGCUCAGCUUGGUGUUGGGCCCCGCCGCCCCGGCGGGCCCUAAAGUCAGUGGCGGUGCCGUCCGGCUCCGAGCGUAGUAAUUCUUCUCGCUCUGGAGGUCCGGUCGUGUGCUCGCCAGCAACCCCCAAUUUUUUUCAGGUUGACCUCGGAUCAGGUAGGGAUACCCGCUGAACUUAAGCAUAUCAAUAAGCGGAGGA
rnacentral:misc_RNA from 1 species